GGACGCGUAGCUCAGCUGGUAGAGCAACUGACUCUUAAUCAGUGGGUCCAGAGUUCGAUCCUCUGUGCGUCCACCA
rnacentral:tRNA from 2 species